rnacentral:rRNA from 1 species
CAAAAACAUUUCUUUUGUUAAUCAUAAGUAGUCCCUGCUCACUGUUUAUUUAAAGAGCCGCAGUAUUAUGACUGUGCUAAGGUAGCAUAAUAAUUUGUUUUUUAAUUGAGAACUUGUAUGAAAGGGUUAACGUAUUCAUGACUUUCUUAUUUAAUUAUUUAUAAUUUAAAUUUUAGGUGAAAAAGCCUAAGUAAUCUAAAAAGACGAGAAGACCCCAAGAAUUGUUUGUUGUAAACUUUAUUCUUUUAUGUUUAAUUGUUUAACUUAGCUGGGGCGGCUUGUAAAUAUAUUAACUUUAUAAGUUUUAAACUUUAUAAGAAUGAUUGAAGUUUUUAUAAUUUAUUUGUAAAAUUACCUUGGGGAUAACAGCGUUAUUUUAAUUUAAAGAUCUUAUAAAAAUUGAAGUUUGCGACCUCGAUGUUGGAUUAAGAUAUUGGUAAAAGUAAAAUUUUAUUUUAAAGGUCUGUUCGACCUUAAAUUCUUACGUGAUCUGA